rnacentral:pre_miRNA from 1 species
CUCAGCCCCCAGGGAGAGUGGAAGGGUGGCGGCCGGGGACAUGUGCUCACUUGGCGCCAUAUGUCUGCCGACCGUCACCUUUCGGAGCCCCCUGUCGCCGA